CACGACUGGAAGAGAGCUUGGUCUAACUGGGGGGGGGGGGAUGUGUCGCCAGUAUGAUCCCGAAGAUUCAUGUCUAAGGAGGAGAUGCAGGAUGGUGGCCGCGUUCCUAAGGAAACACUCCGAGGAGCGGCGCCAGUCGAUUACGUCAGAUGGGCUCCAUCUAGACUGCUGGGGGCAGUCAUAGGUGGCCAGGAAACCAACCGAAUCCUUUUCAGAGGACGGUGUUCCCUGAGGGAACUAUUGUGAAAGAAAGAACUAGUUCCCAGAGAGCAGAAACAUCCGGGCUUAGGGUCUGUGAGAGGCCUGGGAAAGCUGGGGAGACCGAACUCUAAGAGUUGUUUGUUUCAUGCCUUCUCUGAGGGGCACAAAAGUGUAGCAGCUCUGUCAGGAGUAGCUCCCUGGAAGAGCGUUUGUCUAGCGUGACUGACAUCCUGAACUUAAGUGUCCAGUGGACAAUUUGCUCAUCCUGACCCUGACAGUUUUAUGAUUAACCCUCAGUUUCAAGUCUUCGCUUAAUAUACUGUUACGGACUUAUUUAACGAGUUUCCGACCACUUGACACAAGGCAGAAUUAUUUAGGAAGAAGAGGUUCAACUGAGAAAACUCCUCCAUCAGAUUGGCCAGUGAGCAGGUAUGCAAGUAUUUUCCUCACUGAUAGCUGCUACGGGGAGGGCCCCGCCCACAGCGGGAAGGGCCCCGUCCACAGCGGGGAGGGCCAUACCUAGGCAGUUGUCCUGGGUGUAUGAAAAAGCAGGCUAAGCAAGCCAGGAAGGGCAAGCCGGGAAGCAGUACUCCUGCACUGCCCUGCUUCAGUUUCUGCCUCCAGAUUCCUGCUUUGAUCUCCUGCCCGACUUCCCCUGAGGAUGGACUUGUAAUCCAAAUAAACUAUCCACCCUGAUGUGCUUUUGAUGACCCUCUUCAUCAUCGCAAUAGAAAACAAACUGAGACAUAGCUCAUUUGGGAAGUCAAAGAGCAUCAACUGAAAAGUUAAUACAAA
rnacentral:sRNA from 1 species